AAACCCGGGCAGGUGGAGGUCGUCAGCCGUGGUAGGCAAUUCACCUAGGAGAGCAAACUCCGAACAAUAAACCCGGGCAGGUGGAGGUCGUCAGCCGUGGUAGGCAAUUCACCUAGGAGAGCAAACUCCGAACAAUAAACCCGGGCAGGUGGAGGUCGUCAGCCGUGGUAGGCAAUCUGCCUAGGAGAGCAAACUCUAAAUAAACCCGGGCUUGUGGUGCUCGUUAUACUGUCGUAGACAAUCCACGCGAUGGGAACACCAAAGAAAAGGAAAAUAAAAAAGAACACCAGAAAAAUGGAAAAUACAGAAACGAAACAUCAAGAAAAGAAACAAAAAGAUCAUCCACCUUUAGG